UGCUAGCCAAAUUGUAGCCCUCAAACACCGCAUUCCUGCAUGUCAUGGUUCCUUUGUAGUUUGUCUGUCAGUGCUUCACCAUAGCAGAUCUAGGUUCUUCAAAUUUCAACUAGGAACGGAUUUCUUUUGUGCAUUACUACUGAUUCUUAUUGGAUCAGAUGUGUCUGUAUCUUGUUUGAAAAAUAGUUCUCGAUCCUUUGUGGGCAAAAAGAAAGAGAAAAACCAAAUUAGCAUUCUGUUGAGAAUGAAGUACAAUAUCAUGUAACGAUAUAGAAGUUUCAAUAAUGAAAAUGGAGGAUUUUGACAUAAUCAGUUCACUUUGUUGCGCAUUUCAGGGGAGAUGUAGGUCUGAGCAUUUUCAAACAUCCUCUUAACAUCAGCAACGAACGUC
rnacentral:lncRNA from 1 species